UUUGCAGUCAGUUAGCUUAACUUAGUAUAUUCUAUCUAUACAGUGUUUGUAAGUAUAUUGUGUUUUGUAAUGCAAUCCAAUAUAGCAAAACCAGCAAAUAGCUGAGCCCACAGACGGUCACACCCAGUGUCAGUUGAUUUACUCUGGAGCACAAAAACCCAUUCAACAGUCAAUCACUUAGUACUUACGCCACCUACCAAAAUUAUUUAACACAUUACAUUCUGUUCACAUUCAAUACAAUGAGACAGGUGCCCGGAGAGUCUUCUGUUUAACAGUUAAACACAGAGAAGGAUGCUGUUUUGUCGUAGUAGUGACAGUAGUGAACCCCCAUCCCCCCAUCAUAUUACACUGGUGAACAGACUCACUCUUCUUGGCAAGAAAAACCACAUGCUUUACAUAUGUACUUUCUCACUGUCAUCCUCCUACUUUCUCUUAAAAAAGGGGAACUUACAGUUAAACAGCGUUUUAUCAUGUUCGUAGACAAAACGCUGAAAGUCAUGAGCAUCCGCAAUGUCCUCUCACACACACACACACACACACUCAGAGUGACAGCAACAAGCAACAGGAGUUACAUCCUGAUGCCACUGAACACAGGCAAACAAGGGAGACGCUGUGUAAACCAAUUCCAAGCAUGACCUUUUCCCUGUAAAUGCUUCCACCUCACUAGGAUGGAUGCCAGAGAGGAGACGCUGAGCAUCCUGAACAGGAUAUGGGUCAAGCUGCAGGGUCUUCCCAACGCCAACCCGAUAGAGCUGGGAGCUUUCUUUGUCAUCUUAACCUUCAUCUUUGUGGUCCUGCUCAUGACAGUGCUGACCUGCGUGAACUGCUGCUGCUGCUGCUGCUGCCGCUGUCGCAAAACCAAGACAAAGGAUUUGGUCAUUUGAGUAAAUGUGGUGGGAUGGGGACGGUGCGAAACGUCUUCUGAAACAGGCUUUCUCCGCAACUCUCUGAUGCAUAAAGAAACUCUGGCUGAGAGUCAUGGCCAUAUAUUCAAUAGACAUUCAAGACAUUUCUGUGAGCGACAAAGCCAAAUACAGGGUGUGUUCAGUGGCAUUAGAGGAGCCCAACCCUUGUGCAACAAAACAGCUGGCAAAUACAGAGAAGGAUGUUCUGACUGGCUGCCAGAUACACUUGCUAAAGCUGGCCGGUUUUCAGGAGAAUCUACAUUCCAUGGAGCAUCCCUGCGCUUUAAAGAGCAACAACAACGCUUCUGACCCGAGGCAAAUACGUGGAAUAUGAGCUAUAGAAAUGUGUGGAAUCAUUUUUAAGAAACAGCCGCAAGUUGCACAGGUAGAUAUGAAAGGGAAAAGCCAAAUUUGUUUGUAAAUGUUUUUCUAAAUAUAACUAUGUGUCAUUUCUAAAGGAAUUAUUAUUGGCAGUCAGACUUAAGAGUUAGGUAAGAUGUAAGCGUUUCUGACACGCUUAACAACGAAGGUUAGAAGAGGGAUCAAGUCUGCCCUCUGCUGUACACAAACGGAAAUUAACAAUGGUUUUACUUUAAAUAGCACAGUCAUGGAAGUUGUGUUAAAUGUAUAAAGUUGCAUGUUAUAUUACGUGCAAAGGGUGAAUACACUAUGUGAUGAUGUGAUGCUUUGACUACACUUUUGUACGCAAUAAACUAAAUGUGACGUGCA